GACGAACGCUGGCGGCGUGCUUAACACAUGCAAGUCGAACGGAAAGGCCCUGCUUUUGCGGGGUGCUCGAGUGGCGAACGGGUGAGUAACACGUGAGUAACCUGCCCUUGACUUUGGGAUAACUUCAGGAAACUGGGGCUAAUACCGGAUAGGAGCUCCUGCUGCAUGGUGGGGGUUGGAAAGAUUCGGCUGUUGGGGAUGGACUCGCGGCUUAUGAGCUAGUUGGGGGGGUAGUUGCUUACCAAGGCUUUGACGGGUAGCCGGCCUGAGAGGGUGGACGGGCACAAUAGGACUGAGAGAGGGAGCAGUCUGCAACGGGAGGCAGCGGGCGGGAGUAUUGCACAGUGGGCGGGAGUCAGAUGCGACGGCGCCCGGUUCGGAAUAACGGCUUUCGGGGUGUAAACAGCUUUCGACUGAGACAAGGAGGGAGUGACGGUACCGGGUCAAGAAGCACCGGCUAACUACGUG
rnacentral:rRNA from 1 species